rnacentral:lncRNA from 1 species
CAGAGGUCCCAUAUCAAAAAUAAAAGGUUCUUGGGGUGCUGAGGAAGGAGGAUCACUGCAUGUUCAAAGCUAGCCUGCACUACAUAAUAAAGAGAGUGGAGAUAUUUCUCUGAAGAUGUGACAUUUGAGCAGACCUGAUCGAAAUAAGGGUUGAACAAUGUGAGGCUGUGCUGGAAGACUAUUCCAGGAAAAAGAAAGAGCAAGUGGGAAUAACUGUGGAGAAACAGGACCUGAUUUGUGUUUUUAAAGAUCAAUCGCACCGUUUUAUGAAUACCUGCCGACCAUGGAGAGGCGAGACAGCAAGCAGGCCAGGUGAGGAAUAUGUAAUGAAGGCUUGGACAAGGAAGCAAAGGCAGUGGAGAAGGGCCAUCAGAAUCUGGAAACACUCUAAGGUUAAGCAUCCCUGACGUGAAAAUCUGAACUGCUUCAAAAUCUGUAACUUUGUGAGUGCUGACAUGACAAAUCCACAUCUGACCUCUUGACAGGCUACAGUCACAAUGCAGAUCUGGAAGCCACUGCACACAGUCUGAAGGAAGCUUUGCUAACCUGGGGGUGGGCUGUCAACAAAGACAAGAUAAUUGGGCCAUAUACUGCGGGCUGAUGCUCCGGUUACUGGCUUGAGUGACCCAGCAGUGACAGAUAGGGCACUGAUCCCAACAUACGGUGACAGCCCAAUGGAUUGCCUCUUGAAAGUGCAGCUGGCCUGUCUGCAUGUCCAACUCACAGAACAAGGUCCUAAGGGUCGACUCUAUGGGCUGCUGAUAAGACGUUACAUUCCCCUGACCUUUGAGGGUGUGGGAUGUUGGGAAUCACUUCUGACUGAUUCAAAGCCUGGAGCACCUGAGGAACCUUAAGGAUACAACCCACUGUCUAGCGCACGUGAACAACAGGAAAUACUUAUAGCUCUAAAGCUGGACUAUAAAGUCACAGAAGACGGUGAUGUGAAGAGACAGAUGGCUACAGCUUCCUCUCCAAAAACAAUCCUGGAACAGAAAAGUGAUUUCAAACAAUUAUAAUGAUUACAAAGGAACUGUUAGCACCUGCUGCUGACUUUUGGCAGUCAUCAGUCAAUGAAGGACUCAGAAUAUUUGUUAACAACAACC